CCCCUAGAUGUUCUGGGCCGCACGCGCGCUACACUGAACAGUUCAACAAGUCUUAACCUUGGCCGAUAGGUCUGGGUAAUCUUUUAACGCUGUUCGUGAUUGGGAUAGACCUUUGCAAUUAUGGGUCUUCAACGAGGAAUUCCUAGUAAACGCAAGUCAUCAGCUUGCAUUGAUUACGUCCCUGCCCUUUGUACACACCGCCCGUCGCACCUACCGAUUGAAUGGUCCGGUGAAAUCUCGGGACGGCGGCUUGGUCGCUUGCGUCCGACUGCUGAAACUUGAUUAAACCAUAUCAUUUAGAGGAAGGUGAAGUCGUANCA
rnacentral:rRNA from 1 species